rnacentral:rRNA from 1 species
ACACAUGCAAGUCGAUGGGUACAGUCCCGCUUCGGCGGGAGCUGACGACCGGCGCACGGGUGAGUAACGCGUAUGCAACUUUCCUGUAACUGGAGGAUAGCCCCUGGAAACGGGGAUUAAUACUGCGUAAUACCUAAAUACCGCAUGGUAUUAAGGUCAAAUCUACGGAGGUUACAGAUGGGCAUGCGUGCCAUUAGCUAGAUGGUAAUGUAACGGCUUACCAUGGCAAUGAUGGCUAGGGGUUCUGCAAGGAAGGCCCCCCACACUGGUACUGAGACACGGACCAGACUCCUACGGGAGGCAGCAGUGAGGAAUAUUGGUCAAUGGAGGCAACUCUGAACCAGCCAAGCCGCGUGAAGGAAGACUGUCCUAUGGAUUGUAAACUUCUUUUGUGGCAGAAUAAACUACCGUACUUGUACGGUAUUGCAUGUAUGCCAUGAAUAAGCAUCGGCUAACUCCGUGCCAGCAGCCGCGGUAAUACGGAGGAUGCAGGCGUUAUCCGGAUUUAUUAGGUUUAAAGGGUGUUCAGGCUGCCUGGUAAGUCAGGGGUGAAAGUCGGUUGCUCAACGAUCGAAUUGCCUUUGAAACUGUCAGGCUCGAGUAUGGAUGCGGUAGGCGGAAUGUGUAGUGUAGCGGUGAAAUGCAUAGAUAUUACACAGAACACCGAUUGCGAAGGCAGCUUACCAAACCAGCACUGACGCUGAAGCACGAAAGCGUGGGGAGCGAACAGGAUUAGAUACCCUGGUAGUCCA